rnacentral:rRNA from 1 species
AGUGAACGCUGGCGGUAGGCCUAACACAUGCAAGUCGAACGGCAGCACAGUAAGAGCUAGCUCUUACGGGUGGCGAGUGGCGGACGGGUGAGGAAUACAUCGGAAUCUACUUUUUCGUGGGGGAUAACGUAGGGAAACUUACGCUAAUACCGCAUACGACCUACGGGUGAAAGCAGGGGAUCUUCGGACCUUGCGCGAUUGAAUGAGCCGAUGUCGGAUUAGCUAGUUGGCGGGGUAAAGGCCCACCAAGGCGACGAUCCGUAGCUGGUCUGAGAGGAUGAUCAGCCACACUGGAACUGAGACACGGUCCAGACUCCUACGGGAGGCAGCAGUGGGGAAUAUUGGACAAAGGGCGCAAGCCUGAUCCAGCCAUACCGCGUGGGUGAAGAAGGCCUUCGGGUUGUAAAGCCCUUUUGUUGGGAAAGAAAAGCAGCAGGUUAAUACCCCGCUGUUCUGACGGUACCCAAAGAAUAAGCACCGGCUAACUUCGUG